AUACGACAAUGUAUCUACAAGCAAUAAGGUAAUCCAUAUCAGGAAUCGUCAUCCAUUUAUCAAUACCAUGUGCACCCAAGUGUUCUACUCAUGACACAUUUGUAAUAUCACAUAUUCACUUAAAUUCUCAAUUGGUUGUAAGUUGAGAUCAACUGAGUUUCUAAGUACUCUAUUUGUUGUCAGUUGAGAUAGAUUGAACUCUUAUGUGCUCUAAUUGUUGUCAGUUGGGACAAAUAGAGUAACUAGUGAACUCAGAAGAGAUUAAUUCUUACUCAAAGAGAUUGACCAUUAUUAAUAAGUAAAGAAAGAAU
rnacentral:lncRNA from 1 species